UCUGUAGGAGGUUUGUUAAAUACGAGGUGAAAUCUGGGAGCUCAACUCCCAAAUUGCCUUGUAGACUGAUAGACUAGAGUACUGGAGAGGUAAGCGGAAUACCAGGUGUAGCGGUGGAAUGCGUAGAUAUCUGGUAGAACACCAAUAGCGAAGGCAGCUUGCUGGACAGUUACUGACUCUGAAAGACGAAAGCGUGGGGAGCAAACAGGAUUAGAUACCCCAGUA
rnacentral:rRNA from 1 species